rnacentral:rRNA from 1 species
CCGGCGACCGGCGCACGGGUGAGUAACACGUAUGCAACCUGGCCGUGACAGAUGGAUAACCGAGAGAAAUCCCGCCUAAUACAACAUAAUGCCGGGAGGGGACAUCCCCUGCCGGCCAAAGGGGGCGACCCCGGUCACGGAUGGGCAUGCGGCGCAUUAGGUAGUUGGUGGGGCAACGGCCCACCAAGCCGACGAUGCGUAGGGGUUCUGAGAGGAAGGUCCCCCACAUUGGAACUGAGACACGGUCCAAACUCCUACGGAAGGCAGCAG